rnacentral:RNase_P_RNA from 1 species
UGAGUCAGCCAGAUAAUCGCCCUUUACGAGAGGAAAGUCCGGGCUCCAUAGGACAAGACGCCAGGUAACUCCUGGGAGAUGUAAAUCUACGGAAAGUGCAACAGAAAAUAAACCGCCUAACUUAGGUAAGGGUGAAAAGGUAUGGUAAGAGCAUACCGCAUAUUAGGUAACUGAUAUGGCAAGGCAAACCCCGUCUGGAGCAAGACCAAAUAGAGGCCUUUUAGUUUGUCCUGACUUGGCCAGGGUAGGUUGCUUGAGUUUUACGGUGACGUAAAAUCUAGAUGAAUGAUUAUCCACGACAGAACCCGGCUUANAGGCUGACUCACUUC